GCCUGGGUAGCUCAGCUGGUUACAGUGUGGUGCUGAUAAUGCCGAGGUUGCAGGUUCGAUGCCCGUACAGGACA